AGGAUAGUGAGGAGAGCCAGAAAUUAGCAAGAGCAGGAAGUCACUAUCACCCAUGAGCUGCAAGGACAAUGGAAGGAUUCAGAAGCUGGGGCCUUCAAGCAGAAACUAAAUUACAGCAGAAGCUCUCCAGGGGGAACUGAGAGACAGCGAAUUCUGGAAAUGCCAAGUAAGCCUGGCAAUUGCAAGAGAAAUAACCCUGGAUUUCCCCCUCUCCUGCCCUUCAAUUCUGGAGGAAGAAUCAAAACAAAGACCUUAAAGCCACACAAUCUCAGAGCCAGAAUGUGUAGGUUUCUAUCAAACGUCCCCUCCCCAAUCCUUCCCCAAGCACACACAGAGAAUCCCGGAUGCUGCUAGAACACUUCCACCACUGGAAAGCUCAGGACCCUCCAUCCCGUUGGUGGCUGCCCCAGUCAUUACAGAUUUUCUUCCUUUCACUGAGCCAAAUCUGUCCACUGGCUUCCAGGAAGAGGAGGCCUGGUCUGUGCCCCUGCCUGGCAAAGCCCCGUAGACUUUCCUCAAUCUUUCAAGUGUCUUCUUUAUCUUCUAUCCUGCUUAUAACAUAAGCACCACAUUCAGCUUUGGGUUUUAUAUGUCGGCCUGCUAAGUAUCUGAACCAGGUUUAUCCAAAAUUUGUCACAGUAUAUGAAUUGAUGUUCUUUGAAAAAGAACAAAGAAAGUUUUAUGGUCAAAUAAGCUUUGAAAAUGCUGGGUUAAUAAGCUUUGGUGGUCACACUAAGUGUUCAUCUACAUCCCUGGCUCUUCCCACUUUGGCACCCGCCAGCCCCACUGCCACUGUCAUCACCUGCACUGCUUUACCUGAGGGCCCUGUCUGGUCCUUGGAGCCCACUUUUUCUGCCCAGGCAACAAGAAGUGUGAAGGAAUCAAAACUCUCCAGGAGCAGCCCUCAACCAGAGACGGACUGGAGUUGGUGUGUGAUAUGGUUUGGCUGUGUCCCCACCCAAAUCUCAUCUUGAAUUGUAGUUCCCAUAAUUCCCAUGUGUUGUGGGAGGGACCCAGUGGGAGGUAAUUCAAUCAUUGGGGUGGGUCUUUCCCAUGCUGUUCUCGUGAUUGUGCAUAAGUCUCAUGAGAUCUGAUGGUUUUAUAAAGGUAAGUUCCCCUGCACAACUUCUCUGUCUUGCCUGCUGCCAUAUAAGAUGUGGCUUUCGCCUUUUGCCACCCCUAUGCCAAGAUUGUGAGGCCUCCCCAGCCAGAUGGAACUGUAAGUCCAUUAAACCUCUUUUUCUUUAUAAAUUACCCAGUCUCAGGUAUGUCUUUAUCAGCAUCAUGAAAACAGACUGAUAACACUGUGUAAAUACCCCGGCUCUCCCACACCACCCUUUGGGUGGGAUGACACUGAGGCCCUUGUUCUGAGGGCUGCCAAAGUUCCCCUGCAGCAUGAAGCUUCUAUUCACCAUGGGAACUGGCUCCACAAAACAUCCUUUAUCCCCUGCUUUCCUUCCUGAUCUCAUUCCCACGCCUUCCAGGAAACAGGAAUCUUUGUCUCAGUAAAUGCUCAUGGGGAACCCAAACUAAGACACAGUCAACUUGUAAAUUUCCAAGCAAGGGCUAUAGUCCAAGCCCUUUCCAAAACUUAUUUGACUGAGAAACUCUUUUCUCACAGUUCACCUGGAGGGACUAGGGUUCUGGAGGACACGCUUAGGGAAGCUCCGUUCUGGCCCUGGGCAGGAUGCAGACCUGUCAUGGAGUUCCUGAGGGGAGAAGUCAAGGACAGCAUGAUAGCAUGGAUGAUCAGGGUGUGAAGCAAGAAAGACAUUGAGUGGGAAUAUCCAGCCACCCAGAAACACCUGGAGUUGAGACUCCCCAGGGGCGGAGUCCUCUCAGAGACAGUCUGAGAGGAAGUGGCUGAUGUGGGCAUUGAAUACGUUCAUCUGCUGCUACGGAUUUGGGGUCUUGUUCUCACACUUCAAGUGCAGUGUGUGGAUUAGACUAAUUCGGAGUGGAUUCAUGCUUCACAAAAAAAUCAUACUGUAGCUGCCUGUGCGAGAAUUAACCCACCUGCUCUGCUUCUACCUGUAAGGAAAUGGUACCAAUUUCCUCAAGCUGCAAGACUGAGAGACAGAGACACCCCAGGAUUGGGCAAUUAUGUUAGGAAAUUCAACAUUCGAGAUGAAUGGAAAAUGGCUGGGGACUUUUUCUCAACAACUUGGCUCGAACAGGAUUGAUUCCAGGACUGAGAAGUAUUCAAGUGACUCAGUGCCUGCAGUGAUAUAAAAUAGGAUCAUUUGGUAGCUGGAAAAUCUAAGGUGUGCCCUAUCAUCAAAGCACCGGCAUUUAAUAAAGUUGAUUAAGGAUGUUGAAGCAGCAAGGAGGGAAACCAACCAUGGAACACCGGGUCAACCCUGCAUUAGGAGUCCGGAACAUCACAGAGACACAGGGAGAUGUCUUCUAAAUUUCUGCAUGGACCAGGAGACUUUUUCUUGCCUCUAGAAGGACAUGGAAUGUUCUUUCUGGAACACCCCCCAGCACUGGCUCAGGACAUCUCUGUGAGGGUUCUUAGAGGACUCAGGGAAUGCUGUCUGCACCUGCACACACAGGUGUGUGGGUUUCCUCUGGGCAUUGGCUGCAUGUUAGGCAUUUGGUAUUCUGUCCUAUACAUGAUGGGAUAAAGUGUUUAAGAGAUAAAUGUUCCAAGACCUUCCUGAUCUACCCAUGAAUAAACAACCUGACUGGGACUGCCCUCUACCCCCUGAGAAGGGCACUGCUUGGCAGACCAGCUGCUUAUACUCAGAAUCUGGAGAAAGGAGGAGGGAGGAAAGUGCAAAAGGCCUGGGGAGUAUGGCUUGGAAAAUGAAGUUUUUCAAGGUAGUUGGGGGAAAAAAUAAGUUCAGAGCCACAGUGGUAUGAGAACGAAAUAGAUGAAAGAGAAAAUGGGAGUGUGUUCAGAAUGGCUGACAUUGGCAGGGCAUGGUGACUCAUGUCUGUAAUCCAAGUGUUUUGGGAGGCCAAGGCAGGAGGAUUGCUUGAGGCCAAAAGUUUGAGACCAGCCUGAGCAAGAUAGUGAGACCUCACCCGUACAAAAUAUAAAAAAUAUUAGCCAGGUGUGGUGGUGUGCAUGUAGUUCCAGCUACUGGGGAGGCUGAGGUGGGAGGAUUGCUUGAACCAAGGAAUUUGAGGCUGCAGUGAGCUAUGAUCACGACACUGCACUCCAGCCCGGACAACUGAGCAAGACCCUGUCUUUAAAAAAUAGAAUGGCUGAGGUCUAUAUGUGUCCUUCUUGGUGUUUGAAAAAUAUUAGUCCAGGACAGAAGUGCUUGCUUUGAAAUUACUCUUGAUUGCUGGACUGGACUUUCUUGACCUCAAAUACACCGUGGGAUUGGGUAUUGUGAGUCAUGGCUUAAAGUACUACUGAGAUGUACGUCCAGACCCU
rnacentral:lncRNA from 1 species